rnacentral:rRNA from 1 species
GAUGAACGCUGGCGGCGUGCCUAAUACAUGCAAGUCGAGCGAACGGACGAGAGGCUUGCUUCUCUGAUGUUAGCGGCGGACGGGUGAGUAACACGUGGAUAACCUACCUAUAAGACUGGGAUAACUUCGGGAAACCGGAGCUAAUACCGGAUAAUAUUUUGAACCGCAUGGUUCAAAAGUGAAAGACGGUCUUGCUGUCACUUAUAGAUGGAUCCGCGCUGCAUUAGCUAGUUGGUAAGGUAACGGCUCACCAAGGCAACGAUGCAUAGCCGACCUGAGAGGGUGAUCGGCCACACUGGAACUGAGACACGGUCCAGACUCCUACGGGAGGCAGCAGUAGGGAAUCUUCCGCAAUGGGCGAAAGCCUGACGGAGCAACGCCGCGUGAGUGAUGAAGGUCUUCGGAUCGUAAAACUCUGUUAUUAGGGAAGAACAUAUGUGUAAGUAACUGUGCACAUCUUGACGGUACCUAAUCAGAAAGCCACGGCUAACUACGUGCCAGCAGCCGCGGUAAUACGUAGGUGGCAAGCGUUAUCCGGAAUUAUUGGGCGUAAAGCGCGCGUAGGCGGUUUUUUAAGUCUGAUGUGAAAGCCCACGGCUCAACCGUGGAGGGUCAUUGGAAACUGGAAAACUUGAGUGCAGAAGAGGAAAGUGGAAUUCCAUGUGUAGCGGUGAAAUGCGCAGAGAUAUGGAGGAACACCAGUGGCGAAGGCGACUUUCUGGUCUGUAACUGACGCUGAUGUGCGAAAGCGUGGGGAUCAAACAGGAUUAGAUACCCUGGUAGUCCACGCCGUAAACGAUGAGUGCUAAGUGUUAGGGGGUUUCCGCCCCUUAGUGCUGCAGCUAACGCAUUAAGCACUCCGCCUGGGGAGUACGACCGCAAGGUUGAAACUCAAAGGAAUUGACGGGGACCCGCACAAGCGGUGGAGCAUGUGGUUUAAUUCGAAGCAACGCGAAGAACCUUACCAAAUCUUGACAUCCUUUGACAACUCUAGAGAUAGAGCCUUCCCCUUCGGGGGACAAAGUGACAGGUGGUGCAUGGUUGUCGUCAGCUCGUGUCGUGAGAUGUUGGGUUAAGUCCCGCAACGAGCGCAACCCUUAAGCUUAGUUGCCAUCAUUAAGUUGGGCACUCUAAGUUGACUGCCGGUGACAAACCGGAGGAAGGUGGGGAUGACGUCAAAUCAUCAUGCCCCUUAUGAUUUGGGCUACACACGUGCUACAAUGGACAAUACAAAGGGCAGCGAAACCGCGAGGUCAAGCAAAUCCCAUAAAGUUGUUCUCAGUUCGGAUUGUAGUCUGCAACUCGACUACAUGAAGCUGGAAUCGCUAGUAAUCGUAGAUCAGCAUGCUACGGUGAAUACGUUCCCGGGUCU